rnacentral:sRNA from 1 species
AAUGGACACAAACAAGACUAAAAUAAUCAAAAAUAGGUGUAUGUGUGACACAUGUGAGUGUAUGUGACAUAAGCCCAUGUCUCACUACUGUAUAUUAUACUACCCAAAAUGAAUAUUUACCUUAUUCUUUUGUUGAUCGCUGCGACAAGCACCGGCGGCACAAAAUAUAAAAGAAAAAAGAAGGAAAGAUGAAGGUGAGAUGAAUGAAAGAGUCGCAGCGAUAGAUCUGAAGAGAUAGGAGAAAGGGAAUUUGAGACGUUGAAAAUUCCAGCGUCUACGGAAUAGCCGAAUUACAGUCGCUGCGGCAAAGAUGAAAGAGAGGAAAAAUAAAAGUGAAAGAGAGAUGAGAGCUUUUUUUAGAUCGCAGGUAGCUGACGUAGCGAUCAAUCAAAGAACAUGGUCAUUAUCUAAUAAAAACUAUUU